AAUAAACCAAUUUUCUACUUUUUACCUAUAAUUUUUGACUCUUCGUCUUAUUUAAAAAAAUUUACGAUUAAUAUUUUUGUUUUUAUUAGAUGAUAAAUCAUAAAUAAUACUUUAUGUGUGACUAUUUUUUUCUAAUUUUCUGAAAAUUUUUCAAAUAAGACAGAUUGUCAAACGUUGGACAUGAAAACCGG
rfam:Oryza brachyantha chromosome 4, whole genome shotgun sequence.